AUUGAACGCUGGCGGCAUGCCUUACACAUGCAAGUCGAACGGUAACAGGUCUUCGGAUGCUGACGAGUGGCGAACGGGUGAGUAAUACAUCGGAACGUGCCCGAUCGUGGGGGAUAACGAGGCGAAAGCUUUGCUAAUAUCGCAUACGAUCUACGGAUGAAAGCGGGGGAUCUUCGGACCUCGCGCGGACGGAGCGGCCGAUGGCAGAUUAGGUAGUUGGUGGGAUAAAAGCUUACCAAGCCGACGAUCUGUAGCUGGUCUGAGAGGAUGAUCAGCCACACUGGGACUGAGACACGGCCCAGACUCCUACGGGAGGCAGCAGUGGGGAAUUUUGGACAAUGGGCGAAAGCCUGAUCCAGCCAUGCCGCGUGCAGGAUGAAGGCCUUUGGGUUGUAAACUGCUUUUGUACGGAACGAAAAGCCUCUUUCUAAUAAAGAGGGGUCAUGACGGUACCGUAAGAAUAAGCACCGGCUAACUACGUG
rnacentral:rRNA from 1 species